GUGCUUGCUUCUGCAACAUAUAUACUAAAUGUGGAACAAUACAAAAAAGAUUGCAUGGCCCCUGUGCAAGGAUGACACGCACAUUCUGUGAAGCGUUCCAUAUUUUUU
ensembl:snRNA Gm24655 U6 spliceosomal RNA